rnacentral:rRNA from 1 species
CAGCAGCCACGGUAAUACGUAGGGUGCGAGCGUUAAUCGGAAUUACUGGGCGUAAAGCGUGCGCAGGCGGUUCGUCAAGACAGAUGUGAAAUCCCCGGGCUUAACCUGGGAACUGCAUUUGUGACUGGCAAGCUAGAGUAUGGCAGAGGGGGGUGGAAUUCCGCGUGUAGCAGUGUAAUGCGUAGAUAUGCGGAGGAACACCGAUGGCGAAGGCAGCCCCCUGGGCCAAUACUGACGCUCAUGCACGAAAGCGUGGGGAGCAAACAGGAUUAGAUACCCCCGUAGUCCCUGUCUCUUAUAC